UGUUCUGACUCGCUGGCCAGGUGUUUUGAUGUAUCUCACAUAAGAGCAAAAAUCAGCUAGUUCACAUAUCCCUUGCAGAAUCUUCAAAAUGAACAGUGGGCAGUUUAACUGCUCAGGACAAACACGUAUAUAAGAAUAACUAUCACAAAACAUAAAAACAGUCAUUGAUAAUCCAGGUAUUGACACAGUAUUAAGAAUCAAUGUGAACUUUAGAAUUGGGUCAUUUGUGUAAAUUCAGUAAUGAGGGAAUUGUUUCUAAAUGACUGAGAAAAACACCUGAAUAAUUCAGAGUGAUUGUAAGUGUGAUGAUCAUCUGCUAAAUGAGCAACAGCGACCACAAUUCACACCUUCAGUCAGUGAAGCUGCUCUCACAGCCGUUCAUGAGAGUUUUAAUGCUGGGGAAUAUUCCCAUCUUCCCACAGGAGAAGAAGCAAGAAUGAGGAAUUACUCAAGGAGAAACUAUUGACAUACUAUUGAAAAGAUGGAGUUUAAAGAAGAACCUUGCAGCAUAAAAGAUGAAGAUACAGAGGAACAAACAGACCUGAUGGAACAAAGUGAAGUGGAGGAGAAACUCCAUCAGUUUCAGAAACCUUAACAGAGAGGAGAGAAUUGUUCUCACACCUGCUCUCAGUGUGGAAAGAGACUCGCAUCUAAAUCAGGCUUAAAGAAACACAUGAGGAUCCACAAUGAAGAGAAACCCUUCACAUGCCAUCAGUGUGGAAAGAGCUUCACAUGGGCAAAAAGUCUCCAAAUCCAUCUGCUGUUUCACUCAGGAGAACGAUCAUUUGGCUGUGAUCAGUGUGACAAGAAAUUUAUUUUGGAAGCAACCCUGAAAAGACACAUGAAAAGUCAUGCAGGUGUGAAGCCUCACGUGUGUUCUGAUUGUGGAAAGAGUUUUUCAAUAUUGGAGACUUUAAAACAGCAUGAGCUUAUUCAUACUGGUAUGAAAACUCAUGUGUGCAUUGACUGUGGGAAGAGUUUCGCUCGGUCAGGACACCUGAAAGGUCAUGAGAUAGUUCAUACUGGAGUAAAACCGUACAAGUGCUCACACUGUGGAAAGUGUUUUGCUCGGUUAGGACAUCUGAAAGGUCAUGAAAGAGUUCAUACUGGAGAGAAACCGCACCAGUGCUCUUCAUGUGGGAAGAGUUUCAGCCAAUCAUCUAAUCUACGGACUCAUAAGAAAAAGUGUUGUCCAAAGUGAGCAAAGUUAACUUUCAGAUCUAUCAAUUUCUAGUAAAUAAGCUUCAGAUUUGGCAAAAGCUGGAAUUUCAACAGAAUGAUUCUCAUUUGCUAAAAUUAGUAAUGAAGUUUGAUAAAUGCCAAAGUAACAGUUCAGAAAACUUGUGUGUUGCUGUAAAUGCUACAGAUUAUGAGGGGAUUUUUUUUGUUGUUUUUUUUUUUUUUUUUGAAGAAAAUCACAUUAAUUUCUCCAUUAAAUCAUCCAUUUCAUGAAAAGCUUGAUCGACUGCUGUAACGUUAGACAGUGCUCUUUAAUUAACUAGAGUAGGAUUAGUUUUGUCCUGAUAAUUAUUAUUUUAUACCCAUAAAGAUAAUUAGUAACUGCCAGAUUAUGAUCACCUGCUUUUUCCGUCAUGGCUAACAUUAGCCGUGUUAUCUUGGCUAAUAACAUUUAGCUUAUAAAGCCCACAUUUAACGUGACCGAAAAAAACUCCGUGAUCCGUCAGAUCUGUAGGUUGGUUAGGACAGUUUACUGCUGUACAACAACUUUUGUCAGUGAAAAAUAACACAGAAAUCGAAAAAUAAUAGUUAUUUAUUCAUCUUCAAUCUCCCCUCAAAGCUCCGACAGUCCUCAGAGAAGCUGUUAAUCAACUGUAAAUCGUGACGACACGCCCCGUUUCUAUAGCACCAAAUUGCUUGCAAAAAUCAAACUGAUCACAAAAAUGAACUAUUGAAUAUAUAUCAGCAUGAUAACAACUACCUUAAAUGACCAAAACCAUCUUUCGGAAAAUUGUAUUGUAUGUGUAAUUAAUUUUUUGUUAUUUUGACAAGUGCCAUUAGUUUGCAUUGAGAGGGCGGGUUUAUGACUUGUACUGCAUCCAGCCACCAGGGGGCGAUCAAAGAGCCCGCGGCUUCACUUUUCAGGACGUAUGAGACACACCCGCUUUAAACAGUAGCAAAAAUGGCGGCGGCAAGUGUAGAUGACGUUGAUGUUGAGGAUGCACCAACCUCAUUCAAAUCGGAUGUGUGGCGGCAUUUUGGCUUUCCGAAGAUUAAAAAUGAAAGCGAUGAAUCAGAUGAAUCAUUCACAGAUGAAGGUGAACCGUCCACAGGCUCCAAUGAGAAGCUGAGAUUGAUGAUGCUUGGAGGUGAUGAUGCUCUUAUGAAUAAAGCAUGUGCCACAAUCCUUGGGGAAAGACAGAACAGGGAUGCUUUUCAAUUUGGAAUAGUGGAGCCCAGGAAGGCUCAUAUUUGUGGACGACAGGUUUCUGUAUUAAAAACUCUAUUCACAUGGCUAAAACACUUGAAAUCAUUCCUGUUUUUCAGCAGGCGGGUCAAAGCUAUCAGAGAUGAAAUGGAGUCAUACGAGUCUAUGUUGUUUCCUGGACCUCAUGCGUUUCUGUUCGUACACAGAGAUGUGAAAGACUCUGGUAGAGAGAAUUAUCUUUUACACGCUCUCAGUGAAGUGUUCGGUAAGGAGGUCUUGGAUUAUUGUAUGGUGUUAUUUAAAGAUGAUGCUACUGACAAUGAUCCAGAACAGAACUCAUGUGUGAAGAUGUGUGGAGGCAGAAAUCACAUUUUCAUUUAAUCACAAACAUCGACGAGAGUGUUAAUAAAUUGUUUAUAAAAAUAGAGUCAAUGACAGAGAGAAAAGACAGCAGUUUUUUCACAACACAUCUGGAGUGUUUCAGAAAAUCUAACAGUUAUUUUCAGGAAGAAUAUGAGGAAAAGAAAAAUAAAUAAAGAAAAGAGUUGAAUGAUUCAAAAAAGAAAGUGAAUAUGUUAUGCAGAGAGUUGAAUGAUUCAAAAGGCAGAGAGAUUCGGUUAAAAAAAGAGUUGGAUGAUUUCCAAGUCAGGGAGAAUCCAUUUAAAAAAAAAAGUUUGAUGAUUUCAAAGAACUGUUAAGGGAAGAGUUGUACGAUUCAAAAAAGAAAGUGAAUAUGUUGUGCAAAGAGCUAAAUGAUUCAAAAGGCAGAGAGAUUCAGUUAAGGAAAGAGUUUGAUGAUUUCCAAGUCAGGGAGAAUCAGUUUAAAAAAGCAUUGGAUGUUUUUAGAAAACUAUUAAGCAAAGAGUUGAAAGAUUCAAAAGAGAAAGAGAAUCAGUUAAGCAAAGAGUUGAAUGAUUCAAAAGAGAAAGAGAAUCAAUUAAGCAAAGAGUUGAAUGAUUCAAAAGAGAAAGAGAAUCAGUUAAGCAAAGAGUUGAAUGAUUCAAAUGGCAGAGAGAUUCAGUUAAAAAAAGAGUUGAAUGAUUCAAAAGGUAGAGAGACUGUUUAAAAAAGAGUUUGAAGAAUUUAAAGAACUGUUAAACAAAGUUGAUUGAUUCCAAAGAGAAAGAGAAUCAGUUUAGCAAAGAGUUGAAUGAUUCAAAAGACUGAGAGAAUCAGUUGAGCAAAGAGUUGAAUGAUUCAAAAGACAGACUGAUUCAGAUGAGGGAUGACUUUUGCACUUUCAUUCAUCGUGAGAAGCAAAUGAAAGAAGAGCUGAUCAUUUACAAAGACAGAGAGAGACAAUUAAAAGAUGAAAAAGAGAAACUUAAAAGAAAAGUAGAACAGCUCAACAAGAAGGAAAAACAACUACAAAAUAAUCUGAGUGAAGCGAAAGUUAAAGAAACUUUUCUACUUACAAAGUUACAGUCAGAAUGUAAUAUGAUACAGAGAGAGGUACAAGAGAAGUACAAGCCAAAGAAAAUGAGCUAAAUGAGAGAGAGAGAGAGAGAACUGGACAGGAGUGUCAAGAGACUGGAGGAAAGAGAGAAUGAGCUGGAGAUCAGAAAGAGAGAAGUGACACAGAGAGAUGUGAGAUCCAGAGAACAUCUUCAGACCCAGGCACGUGCACAUGCCCUUUUUGUCCUUAUACUUCGAAGUGCCCUUUUUUUUUGUUUUAGGUGUUUUAUUUUAUUUAUUUAUUUUCUUCAAUAAAUCAAUGCUACUGGUCAUC